rnacentral:rRNA from 3 species
UGGGGAAUAUUCCGCAAUGGACGAAAGUCUGACGGAGCAACGCCGCGUGAGUGAUGAAGGUUUUCGGACUGUAAAACUCUGUUGUUUAGGACGAAAGUGCCUGUUGCAAAUAGUUGCAGGUAUUGACGGUACUGAACGAGGAAGCCACGGCUAACUACGUGCCAGCAGCCGCGGUAAUACGUAGGUGGCAAGCGUUGUCCGGAAUUAUUGGGCGUAAAGAGCAUGUAGGUGGAUACUUAAGUCUGUUGUGAAAAUGCGGGGCUCAACCCCGUAUUGCGAUGGAAACUGGGUGUCUUGAGUGCAGGAGAGGAAAGGGGAAUUCCCAGUGUAGCGGUGAAAUGCGUAGAUAUUGGGAGGAACACCAGUGGCGAAGGCGCCUUUCUGGACUGUGUCUGACACUGAGAUGCGAAAGCUAGGGGAGCGAACGGG